GGGGGAUAAGUGAGUGACACUCAUGACCAGUUGCAGCGUCUGUUGGGUGGGUCUAAACCAGGAUAAUAACCUUCGUCUUCAUUGGGAUUCCAAUACAUUUGACUAGCCAUAUCCACUGCAGUGAUGGCUGGUGCUCUGGUCACUCUCCUAGCAGUGGUCACUGUUUACCGACAAAGGACCAUGACGAGGACUUGCAUGGUCAAGUAGACCAAUGUCAAAGAGCAGGACAGCAGGAAGUCCCCCAAAAUCCUCCCCCAGGGCAUCCUGAAGCGAGCCAGAGAAAGACAGAUGUCACUGAGGAAGAGGAGGGUGAUGAUGAAACAGACGUGAACACUCAGGCCAGGUAGGACUACCUCAAUGCAUGCUCAGGUGACAUGCGCUCACUCAACGUUAUCAGGACAUAGAAACACAACAGUGGCACAAGCCAAGAGACAAGAAGAUUGAUGACAAGCCUAUUCCAGCGGUCUUGGAGACAAAAGUGAGGGCAAAAGUGAGCUGGAAGAGAAGUCUACUGCAGUUAUAACUUUGACUGGUGAGCUACAUGUGAAUGCAUUGUUUACAUCUAAUGCAUGUAAUAACCAAUUAAACCACAAGAGGAUAUUUUUUUAUCACAGAUGCAAGUCCAUUAUAUCUUCAACUUUUACGUAUCAAAGAAACCCAUGUUUUACAUAUGGGCAGGUACUUACUGUAUAGGCACAAAUCUAUGGUUAGCAGCAGAAACAGUAUGGUAUCCAUAAACAAAUGUCAUCAAAUGUUUCCACCUCCAUGGUUGUAUGUUUAUGUUCUCAGGACAGUGUCAGAAGUAACAGAUGAAGAUGGGUGGGCGUAUAACGUGAACGUCUAGCAACCCGAAGAUUGUAAAUUUGAUUAUCAUUACAGACAACUUGCGCAUUUUAGCUAAUUAGCAACUUGUCAACUGUCAACUUACUACAUUUUAGUUACUUUUCAAAUACUAAGUAUGCUAGCUAACUCUUCCCCUAACCUUAACCCUUUUAGCUUAGCCUAACAUUAACCCUUUUAGCUAACCCUAACCCUAACCUUUACUCUUUAAGCUAACUUGUAAACAUAAUCCUAACCCCUAGCCUAGCUAACAUUAGCCAGACAGCUAACGUUAGCCACCCAGCCACCUAGCUAGAUUUCGUAACAUAUCAUAUUAUAACGACACAGGGCGAGACGCAGAUGCAGACACCAGAGGCAAAUGGUUCGAGUCUCUGAUAUUUAUUGAAAAACAAGGGGCAGGCAAGCGGCUGGUCGAGGACAAGCAUAAGUUCAUAAACCAGGUCAGAGUCCAGAAGGUACAGGGCAGCAGACAGUCUGGAGGUCAGGCUGAAUGGUCAGGCAGGCGGGUACAGUGUCAGGGCAGGCAAAGGGUCAGAACCGGGAGGACUAGAAAAACAGACUAGGAAAAACAGGAGCACGGAAAAACACACUACUUGACUUGACGAACUGGCAACAGACAGACAGAAGACACCGGUAGAAAUACAUAGGGAAUAACGGGAACAAAUGGGAGACACCUGGUGGGGGGUGAAGACAAGCACAAGACAGGUGAAACAGGGUGUGACACAUAUGUUUCGCAAAUUCAUAACAUAUACAGUAAUACAAAUUGUAAUUUGUAACAAAUCAUAGAAAAUGGUUGAUGGCCAUCCACAAAUGAUUACAUACCAUACGAAACGUAAUAUAUCAUACUAAAAGGAGUGUCUUGGACUUACACAGAUAAUAAUACGAAAUUCUCUGAGACCAGGUUGAGAAUACCCAUACAGAUUUCUGUCUGUGUGCAUGGGUGUGUGAGGACCAUCCUAUAAUAAGAAUGUGUGGCUGGAAGUUGGACAGCUGACUCCAGUCACCCAAGUCAUAGACUGUUUUCUCUGCUACUGCACGCCAGGUCUAGGACCAAAAGGCUCCUUAACAGCUUCUACCCUCAAGCCAUAAGUCUACUGAACAAUUAAUCAAAUGCC